rnacentral:misc_RNA from 1 species
UGUGGGAGCGAGCUUGCUCGCGAUAGCGGCGGUACAUCCAGGGCAUCUGCAGCACCUGGAAUCCGUCAUCGCGAGCAAGCUCGCUCCCACA